GUGCUUGCUUUGGCAGCACAUAUACCAAAAUUGGAACGAUACAGAGAAGAUUAGCAUGGCCCCUGCACAAGGAUGACACACAAAUUUGUGAAGCAAAUUUGA
rnacentral:snRNA from 1 species